GCGGGCAUAGUCCAAUGGUAGAAUGCGGGCUUCCCAAGCCUGAGAUGCGGGUCCGAUUCCCGCUGCCCGCACCA
rnacentral:tRNA from 1 species